GGAAAAUGUCAGUGGCUGAGGAGGAUUACAGCCCAAGAGGAGCUUUGCAGUGAAAAGGGACAGUGAGAGACCAACCCAAAUAUGGGCUUCUUUCUAGAAGCAAGGUGACUGGAUGCAGAAGAGAGAGCCCAUGUGCUGAAAGGAAUAGGGGUGAAGACUACCUAGAGGAAAUCAUCAUUACAGCGGGAGAGGACAGCAAGACCUUUAAGCAGCUGCAGCAAGAGAACAGCUGCCAACCUUUGUUGGGUGUAAAUGACAAAUGUAUGCUCAGUGUACUUGUUUUAUCUUUUGUUCCAACAUCUGU